rnacentral:rRNA from 1 species
UUUAGAACGUCGUGAGACAGUUCGGUCCCUAUCUGCCGUGGGCGCUGGAGAACUGAGGGGGGCUGCUCCUAGUACGAGAGGACCGGAGUGGACGCAUCACUGGUGUUCGGGUUGUCAUGCCAAUGGCACUGCCCGGUAGCUAAAUGCGGAAGAGAUAAGUGCUGAAAGCAUCUAAGCACGAAACUUGCCCCGAGAUGAGUUCUCCCUGAGACUUWRAGUCUCCUGAAGGAACGUUGAAGACGACGACGUUGAUAGGCCGGGUGUGUAAGCGCAGCGAUGCGUUGAGCUAACCGGUACUAAUGAACCGUGAGGCUUAACCUU